rnacentral:rRNA from 1 species
GACGAACGCUGGCGGCGUGCUUAACACAUGCAAGUCGAACGGAAAGGCCCUGCUUUUGUGGGGUGCUCGAGUGGCGAACGGGUGAGUAACACGUGAGUAACCUGCCCUUGACUUUGGGAUAACUUCAGGAAACUGGGGCUAAUACCGGAUAGGAGCUCCUGCUGCAUGGUGGGGGUUGGAAAGUUUCGGCGGUUGGGGAUGGACUCGCGGCUUAUCAGCUUGUUGGUGGGGUAGUGGCUUACCAAGGCUUUGACGGGUAGCCGGCCUGGGAGGGUGACCGGCCAAAAUGGGGCUGAGAUACGGGCCAGCCUCCUACGGGGGGCAACAGGGGGGAAUAUUGCACAAUGGGGGGAAGGCUGAUGCAGCAACGCCGGGUGCGGGAAGACGGCCUUCGGGUUGUAAACCGCUUUCGCCUGUGACGAAGCGUGAGUGGCGGUAAUGGGUAAAGAAGCACCGGCUAACUACGUG